AACGAACGCUGGCGGCAUGCCUAACACAUGCAAGUCGAACGAGACCUUCGGGUCUAGUGGCGCACGGGUGCGUAACGCGUGGGAAUCUGCCCUUGGGUUCGGAAUAACAGUUAGAAAUGACUGCUAAUACCGGAUAAUGUCUUCGGACCAAAGAUUUAUCGCCCAGGGAUGAGCCCGCGUAGGAUUAGCUAGUUGGUGAGGUAAAGGCUCACCAAGGCGACGAUCCUUAGCUGGUCUGAGAGGAUGAUCAGCCACACUGGGACUGAGACACGGCCCAGACUCCCUACGGGAGGCAGCAGUGGGGAAUAUUGGACAAUGGGCGGAAAGCCUGAUCCAGCAAUGCCGCGUGAGUGAUGAAGGCCUUAGGGUUGUAAAGCUCUUUACCCGGGAUGAUAAUG
rnacentral:rRNA from 1 species